AGAGUUUGAUUCUGGCUCAGAACGAACGCUGGCGGCGUGGAUAAGACAUGCAAGUCGAACGAGAGAAUUGCUAGCUUGCUAAUAAUUCUCUAGUGGCGCACGGGUGAGUAACACGUGAGUAACCUGCCCCCGAGAGCGGGAUAGCCCUGGGAAACUGGGAUUAAUACCGCAUAGUAUCGAAAGAUUAAAGCAGCAAUGCGCUUGGGGAUGGGCUCGCGGCCUAUUAGUUAGUUGGUGAGGUAACGGCUCACCAAGGCGAUGACGGGUAGCCGGUCUGAGAGGAUGUCCGGCCACACUGGAACUGAGACACGGUCCAGACACCUACGGGUGGCAGCAGUCGAGAAUCAUUCACAAUGGGGGAAACCCUGAUGGUGCGACGCCGCGUGGGGGAAUGAAGGUCUUCGGAUUGUAAACCCCUGUCAUGUGGGAGCAAAUUAAAAAGAUAGUACCACAAGAGGAAGAGACGGCUAACUCUGUGCCAGCAGCCGCGGUAAUACAGAGGUCUCAAGCGUUGUUCGGAAUCACUGGGCGUAAAGCGUGCGUAGGCUGUUUCGUAAGUCGUGUGUGAAAGGCGCGGGCUCAACCCGCGGACGGCACAUGAUACUGCGAGACUAGAGUAAUGGAGGGGGAACCGGAAUUCUCGGUGUAGCAGUGAAAUGCGUAGAUAUCGAGAGGAACACUCGUGGCGAAGGCGGGUUCCUGGACAUUAACUGACGCUGAGGCACGAAGGCCAGGGGAGCGAAAGGGAUUAGAUACCCCUGUAGUCCUGGCAGUAAACGGUGCACGCUUGGUGUGCGGGGAAUCGACCCCCUGCGUGCCGGAGCUAACGCGUUAAGCGUGCCGCCUGGGGAGUACGGUCGCAAGAUUAAAACUCAAAGAAAUUGACGGGGACCCGCACAAGCGGUGGAGUAUGUGGCUUAAUUCGAUGCAACGCGAAGAACCUUACCUGGGCUUGACAUGUAAUGAACAACAUGUGAAAGCAUGCGACUCUUCGGAGGCGUUACACAGGUGCUGCAUGGCCUGUCUCUUAUACACAUCUGACGCUGCCGACGAACUCUAGGGUGUAG
rnacentral:rRNA from 1 species